GCCGGAGUGGCGGAACGGCAGACGCAGCCGGCUUAAACCCGGCAGCCGCAAGGCGUGGGGGUUCGAAUCCCUCCUCCGGCACCA
rnacentral:tRNA from 1 species